AUUCAGUUGGUAGAGCAUGGUGUUUGCAACACCAGGGUUGUGGGUUCGAUUCCCAC
rnacentral:tRNA from 1 species